GGAAAGAUGACCAAAGCAGACCCCCGGUUGCCUCUGCGAGGUAAGCAGCUCAGAGGAGGGAUUUAAAAGAGAACUCUGCAUUGUUCUCGGAGUCACUCAAGCAUAGAAAGGGUGGAAUUCCAUCUGUUCAGUUCAGUUUGGUUCAGUGAACUGGGUCACUUUUAAUGGUUCACUAAAUUCUGACUAUCUAAAAUGACAGUUAAUGUGUUUUAAAAACUCUCUAGCCGCAUGAGAAGAACACCUUAUGACUUGUUCUUCCUUGCCCUUGGGUGGAUCACCUCUGAGAACAGUUGUCAGAACCUGCUUGAUCUCCCAGCAUGACACAUCAGGACAAGAACAGCAAGAAUUGAAAGCCACAUCUGAAGUUUUCAAAUAGGAAAUGACACAAAACCAGACCAAGAGUCUAAAACAGCUGCGAGUCUAAAAACAACCCUUUGUCCAAACACGUUUUUUAUUUUAAAUAAAAAGUACAGACCCUGAAAUUGGGACCACAGCUACUGAAUAACAAGGAAGAUGAGCAAUUACGUCCUUAAUGCUGAUGAUUUCACUCUCUGCCCUUACAAAGAGAAGAGAGCUGAAGGCUUAUCUUUCUCUCUGCAGCCGCAAUGUGACCUCCUAGGAAAAGCCAAAAGGACGAUUCUUUUAUAAUUAUGAAGUAGGAAGUUAGACAGCUUCUGAAAGUAAAUGCCCAUAUUCCAUUUUCUAGCAGGCUGCUGUGGCUUGUCUUCUGUCUGGGAACUGGAUAAAAACAUCAGCGAAUACUCCAAAGGAGGCCACACAACACCCCAAAGGGCUAAUCUAUGUUAUAGAGAGAUGGCAAAUCAGAGAAGCCCCAGUGUGUUUCCCCUCCACCUUGGAAUUUGUUCCCAGUGAAAGUUACCACCAGGGCGAUUGGCUAAUUUUCAAACUAAUUUGACAUUUCUUCAAUUGCUUGGAAGAAAGGUGAGACAUCUCAUCAUCCCAGCCACCAUCUUUAAAAAACAAGGACAAUGAAACAAACACAGUCUCCC
rnacentral:lncRNA from 1 species